AUUUAUGUGGAAGUGGUAGAAAUAAUAGGAAGGUGUAUUUUAGGAGAUACCUUUAAAUUGUUUAGAAAUGAAGUGUUUAUAAUCUGACCCCUAGAGUUCAAGGGGCGGGGUCACGAGAGAAAAAAAGAGGAGAUUUUUCUAGAGAGUUCGGGAGUGCAAGAAGCAAGAGAAAAGGGUACACACAUGUAGUGUCUAAAGACUGAGAAAAAGUAAAGGAUUUUGAUUUGAAAGUAGAAACAUUGAACAGUUUAAAGACUGUUGAUGGGAGGAACUGAGUGUCGACAAGACGCUGAGCUCAAAAAUUAUAGUUUAUAUUCAACAGUUGCGUGAACCUAAAGUGUGUGCGUGCGCAACGCUCCAAGAGAGUGUCGCAGUUUAUCUUGUUUUUUUUUGUUUCAUCUGUGAAAGUAUUCGGAAGAGAGACAAUACCCGUGUUUUAUUUUACAUUAAAGUGUUAAGAAAUGGUUGAAGUGUUCGGAGCUCAAGGGAUGACUGAGUGAAUGUGGAGCGAUUUAUUAGGAGAGACCGACAUGCUUUCAUGGCCUGUGCUGAUCGGGCCUAUCUACAAGAUGGAGGAUUUGCCUGGACAUGUCAUCCGAUUCAUCUUUGGAAGAGAUGGUUUGUGAUGGAUGCAUGGACGACUGGAUCUGCUGAUCAUUUCAUUGGUGCAUCUUCAAAUCUGGUACUGUGUUGUUUUUGGAAUCGCUUUCUUGUGGGAUCUUAUCGCUCAGGUCUUCUGAUCAAAUUCUUUUGAGGGUUCCUCAUUGCCGCUAUAGAACUAAGGGCGAUCGUGCCUUUUCUGUGAUAGGUCCUAAUCUCUGGAUCAGUCUCCCUUUCCAUGUGAGGUUGAUUUGACUUGACUUGCUGUAGUGGCGAAGAAGUUCAGCUCCGAGAUCUUUUCACUGCGUGUUGAGAGAUGGAUUAAUACAGCCAGAGAGGAACUGGCCCCCACAGUGAGCCUGGUUUCUCCCAAGGUUAUUUUUCUCCAUUAACCAACAUCUUCUGGAGUUUUGUGUUCCUUGCCACAGUCACCUUCAGCUUGCUCACUGGGGAUAUAAAUACAAUUAUUAUUUAAUUACUUAUUUUUAUACACAAUACACAAUUCACAAUCAUAUUAAUCAAACUACACAAUCAUCACUGCAAGACUUUAUAGAUAUUACAGUUUCAUUUUCUGUUAAUGCAUGAUUUUCUGUAAAGCUGCUUUGAAACGAUGUGUGUUGUGAAAAGUGCUAUACAAAUAAAAAUGAC